rnacentral:lncRNA from 1 species
AAGCUUUCAAUCGAAUUAAUGCCUUUUUUAAAUACCUUUUGAGUGAGAGCUUUGAACUUGUGUUUCUAAAUUUUGAAAAACAGACCCUACAUUAAAUUCUUGUCUAGCCAUUUUGAGAAAUUAAAUAAAGAGUAUCAAAUAAAAAGUCACUUUACCUUAAUAUCCUUUGGUCACGGUUAACCAAAAAUAACCACAUGUAACACAACACAUGGUUAUUUGGAAUAGUAGUUUAUUAAAGCCCGUCUGGACCAGUGUCCAUAACGGACGGUCUCCUCUAUACAGUAAAAUACACAAGUAUAUAUACAGAAUAUAAACAGUGUCAAGGUUUCUAUUAAUUUGACCAUUAUAGUCUUAAAUCAAAAGAUACAGGGAUGAAUAUCUAUUAAGUUGACUUUAAUUGACAUGUUUUGACCAACCUGGAGAUUAAUGGUCAAAGAAUACACAUAUUUCCCGUGUUUUAACUAAUUG